CCUACGGGUGGCAGCAGUGAGGAAUAUUGGUCAAUGGGCGCGAGCCUGAACCAGCCAAGUAGCGUGAAGGAUGACUGCCCUACGGGUUGUAAACUUCUUUUAUAAAGGAAUAAAGUGAGGCGCGUGUGCCUUUUUGUAUGUACUUUAUGAAUAAGGAUCGACUAACUCCGUGCCAGCAGCCGCGGUAAUACGGAGGAUCCGAGCGUUAUCCGGAUUUAUUGGGUUUAAAGGGAGCGUAGAUGGGUUGUUAAGUCAGUUGUGAAAGUUUGCGGAUCAACCGUAAAAUUGCAAUUGAGACUAGCAGGCUUGAGUACAGUUGAGGUAGGCGGAAUUCGUGGUGUAGCGGUGAAAUGCUUAGAUAUCACGAAGAACCCCGAUUGCGAAGGCAGCUUACUAAACUGUGACUGACAUUGAUGCUCGAAAGUGUGGGUAUCAAACAGGAUUAGAUACCCUUGUAGUC
rnacentral:rRNA from 1 species